GUGAUCAUGUGUUCUCACCUUUUGGCUCCCACUUACAGGAAGGAGGUGAUGAAGAGAGAAAGAAAGGAUGGAAGGAAGGAGGAAGUGGACAAUGAGCCCAGAGCCCUCACCUGAGUUCCAAACAUUUAAGUCAAACUGCCAACUUCAUUCUCCAUUUGGACGAUUUCUCAACAUGUACAAAACCAAGUCCUGAUUUUUCCGUGACCCCAAAUCUGUUCUAUCUGAAGCCUCCCUAUCUCAGUUACUGAGACAGAGUCUGUCUGUCUUUGUCACUCGCACUUCACGCUGGAGUGCAGUGGUGUGAUCAUAGCUCACUGCAACAUCAAACUCCUAGAUUCAAGCGACCUGAUCCUUCCACCUCAGCCUCCGGAGUAGCUGAGACUACAAAUCCUGGCUGAUGGAUGUAAUGAAGGCAUGAACUAUACUAGUUGAACAAGGAAAUGAACUUGAACCAAAUUGUGAAGUUCUCUGCAGUGAAAUAUUAAAGCUCUGCUGAAAGGACUUGGGAGUGAGCUGCCAGGCUACAGGGGAUUGAAUCGAAAGCCCCCUAAUGGUUAAAGUGUCCAUUAGCUUCUCUACACUUAGCAUCCAUCAGAGAGAAGACAGGCUGGGAGCCCCGGGCGAAUUUCUAACUAGCCUAAUGAGGAGAGAGAUUCUGGGAGCAAAAAAAGUUCAUUUGCUGAAUUUCCAGCAAGAAGUCACUUCAAUAUUGCUUCUAGGAAACACUGACAGGCUUUGUUGAUUAGCAAGCUAAACAGAGAAAAAGAUAACACUCAAGAAACUGCCUAUAUGUAAGAGAUUCCUUUGAGAACUUUCAAAUGGCUCCUUUCUACAAAAGACCUGAGAAUACUUAACCCCCCACCACUAGCACACUCAAAGCUCAAGGCAAAUGCAUUUUCAAGAUUGACAGGGUCUUGGACUCUGAAAGUCUUUGGACCCAAGAAAAAUCGUGUUAUCUAAGAGAGCAGUUAUUCUGACACAGACUGAUAUCAGGUGCCUGUGGCAUGAAACACGGAAGAGAAUAAUAGCAUCUACCUUAUAAGAAGACAUACUAUAUUCUGGACCACAUAUCUGAUAAUUCUUACAGCCCUUUAAAGAUAAUCAUAACUAGAAUAUUAUCUUAUUUUGUAGCUCAUAGAUGUCAAAAGACUAGCUCAUAAUUUUAUUGCGGAUACAUAGCAGAACCAAGAUUUGAACUCAGACCUGUCUCAUUCCACAACUCAUUUUCCUUGAAGUCAAUAGAUGCCACUGAUCUCUAAAUACCUACAAAAGGGGCUCGGAGGUGGAGAGGGGAUGUCUGAGGAGCCUUAGGACUACCACCCAAUGUUCUGUCUUUAGAUAGAGAUGCUAUCACCAAUCUCUCUUUCACACAUACUCCUCCUCUUCUCAUUUCUGUUCGUGUACUUGGUUCUCAGUGUAAGAUUUUGUUAGAAGAAAGAGGCAUGUUGGUAAAAUAAGAAAUAAUAUAUCAAAAAUAAAAUAAAAUUGUUUGAAAGUCUCUGCAGUGCUUUAACAAUGAAAGAAGUAUCUAUGCACACUUUAUAGUUUGCUAAAUACAUAAUUGAUUAAGUUAGAAGACUAUGUAGAGCUGCGGCGGG
rnacentral:lncRNA from 1 species